UGGGAAGGAAACACUGCGACUAAGGUCCAAGGGUUCUGCUACAGUUCAGGAAGUGAAUGAAUUUGAAGAACGAGCCACCAAAAAAGUGGACGACCUGUUGGAGAGCUACAUGGGCAUCAGAGACCUGGAGCUGGCAACCACCAUUGUGGAAGCGGGCAAAGACAAGAAGAACCCCGAUGACUUUGCAGAGGCACUGGAUUCAGUUCUGG
rnacentral:lncRNA from 1 species